GAUGAUUUAAGUAUCAUUGUGACGCUUUAAGUAUCAUUGUGACAUUCAGGGGCGUGCUGUAUUCUGAAUCUAGCCCUGAGUCAAAAGACACAAUGAAUUAUGACAAAAGUGGGUGUAUUCCAGAGAUGGGAGGUUAGAAAAUAAUACGAAAAUGAUAUUAUUCUGACCUUACUCUAUUACUCAGCCCCAAUUCCCCCACACUUUGUGAACCUUUUUGUGAGUACAAUGCUAAGGCAGUUUAAAAAAAUGCAACUAUAUACAAGUUCAUCAAUUCCAGAUGUAAAGUCAAUAGCAAUUCAAGUGAUGACCACAGCAGUAACCUGGAGACCUGCAGUCUCAAUGUAUCAGAUCACAACUUAAAAAUAUCUCCCAAAGUAAAACACCAAGUACAAACCCCAGGUAAAUGACGGUCCUGAGGAACAGAUGUCAGGACAUCAGAUGUGAAGUUAAAGGAUCCAUCUAAAGACUAUCUGUGGCGACCAAAGGGAGCCACAGUGAGGCAGCCAAACGUGAGCACUGAGAUGAAGGAAAUAGGCCCGAAGCAGCCUGCUCAUGCUCUGAGACUGGAGGAAGAGGGUGAACGCAAUCUCUGGAGGGAAGCCCUGACUUCAGGCAGCUCAGGAUACACACAUCAGAAAACCUGAAGAGUCCCUUUGCUUUUCCUGGAAUUAUAUAACCAACUACAGUUUCGGAAUAUAUCAAAGCAAGUUCUUAUCAAAUACCUUAUCUCUGGGUUUGUCUUCCACAUAAAAUAUGAGUCACAGUCAGGAUCAAACUAUUGAAGUAA
rnacentral:lncRNA from 1 species